rnacentral:rRNA from 1 species
GAUGAACGCUGGCGGUAUGCUUAACACAUGCAAGUCGUACGAAGAUCUUUGAUCUUAGUGGCGGACGGGUGAGUAACACGUGAGAAUCUGCCCUUAGGAAGAGGAUAACAGCUGGAAACGGUUGCUAAUACUCUAUACGCCGAGAGGUAAAAGGAUUUAUCCACCUUAGGAAGAGCUCGCGUCUGAUUAGCUUGUUGGUAAGGUAAUGGCUUACCAAGGCGACGAUCAGUAGCUGGUCUGAGAGGAUGAUCCGCCACACUGGGACUGAGACACGGCCCAGACUCCUACGGGAGGCAGCAGUGGGGAAUUUUGGACAAGUGGGCGAAAGCCUGAUCCAGCCAUGCCGCGUGAGUGAAGAAGG